CUGCCGCCAGGUAAGAUGUCCGUUUGGUCUUCUUCGUCUUCUGCCAUGACUGUGAGGUUCCCCUCAGCUGUGUGGAACUGGGAGUCCAUUAAACUUCUUUGAUUUAUAGACGACCCAGUUUCAGGUCAGUGGUUGUCAAAGGCGACAAUGCAUCGGUAUUGUCUGAAGAAAUUUUCAAAUACCUGCUCCUUUCUAGGAUCCAGACACAGGAUAAGAUACAUGUGGGGAAUGACCUUUCCGUGCCUGUGCGGUUUAUUGGGAUUAUAAAGUAUUUCCUCUGGCAUUCAUAGUUUUUGUGGACACACCUGAUACCUGAAAAAAACAAUCUGAAUAUCCAAAACAUCAUUCACUGUUAAAUCCAGGAAACAUCCUUGGAUUUGGAAAUUAUGGAAGGAGAAAUUAUUAUUGGAACUGUACUGAACCUUUAGCUCAAUUAAGUUUGAUGAGGCAGGAUACCAUGCUGUGGAGACCCAUUUGGCAAGAAACUAAAGGCAGCCACCAUCCAAAUGCUAGGAAAAAGCUACAGCUUUCUGUCUGAUGGCAAAGGAGACACUGAAUCCAGUCAACAAUAACAGGAGUUUGAUGGAAGAUCCAUUCCCCAGUGGAGCCUCAGAUAACACCUCAAGUCUGGCCAACAUUCUGACUGUAAACUUAUGAGAGACCCUGAAGCAGAGAAUUCAGCUAAUCCAUGCCUGGGUUUCUGACUCUCAAAAAUUCUGAGAUAAUAAAUGCAUGUUGUUUUAUGCCUUUAAGUUGUGGUAAUUUGUUAUGCAGCUGUAGAUGACAUGCAGAUUCAAGUAUCUGAAAAUGAGGGGCUGCUCUGAAAACACUACAAAUGUGGGAGUGGCUUUA
rnacentral:lncRNA from 10 species